AGAGUUUGAUUAUGGCUCAGGAUGAACGCUGGCGGCGUGCUUAACACAUGCAAGUCGAACGAAGCAACUAUCUUGCUUGCAAGAGAGUUGACUUAGUGGCGGACGGGUGAGUAACGCGUGGGUAACCUGCCUCAUACAGGGGGAUAACAGUUGGAAACGACUGCUAAGACCGCAUAACCCGCUAGUGUCGCAUGACACGGACGGAAAAUAUUUAUAGGUAUGAGAUGGGCCCGCGUCUGAUUAGCUAGUUGGUAAGGUAACGGCUUACCAAGGCGACGAUCAGUAGCCGACUUGAGAGAGUGAUCGGCCACAUUGGGACUGAGACACGGCCCAAACUCCUACGGGAGGCAGCAGGUGGGGAAUAUUGGACAAUGGGGGAAACCCUGAUCCAGCGACGCCCGCGUGAGUGAAGAAGUAUUUCGGUAUGUAAAGCUCUAUCAGCAGGGAAGAUAAUGACAGUACCUGACUAAGAAGCCCCGGCUAACUACGUGCCAGCAGCUGC
rnacentral:rRNA from 1 species